rnacentral:rRNA from 1 species
GGGGAAUUUUCCGCAAUGGGCGAAAGCCUGACGGAGCAAUACCGCGUGAGGGAAGAAUGCCCGUGGGUUGUAAACCUCUUUUCUUAGGGAAGAAGCUCUGACGGUACCUAAGGAAUAAGCAUCGGCUAACUCCGUGCCAGCAGCCGCGGUAAUACGGAGGAUGCAAGCGUUAUCCGGAAUCACUGGGCGUAAAGCGUCUGUAGGUGGCUUAGAAAGUCCGCUGUUAAAUCUUAGGGCUCAACCCUAAACCAGCAGUAGAAACUUCUAGGCUAGAGUAUGGUAGGGGCAGAGGGAAUUCCCAGUGUAGCGGUGAAAUGCGUAGAUAUUGGGAAGAACACCAGCGGCGAAAGCGCUCUGCUAGGCCAUUACUGACACUCAGAGACGAAAGCUAGGGGAGCA